CCCUUAGAUGUUCUGGGCCGCACACGCGCUACACUGAAGGAGGCAGCGUGUACUCCUGGAUCGAAAGAUCUGGGUAACCCGCGAAUCUCCUUCGUGCUAGGGAUUGAGGUUUGCAAUUAUCCUUCAUGAACGAGGAAUUCCCAGUAAGUGCAAGUCAUAAGCUUGCGCUGACUACGUCCCUGCCCUUUGUACACACCGCCCGUCGCUACUACCGAUUGAAUGAUUUAGUGAGGACUUCGGACUGGGACCGAUGCGGCUUUCGGGCUGCGUCGGUAUUCUGGAAAGAUGUCCAAACUGUAUCAUUUAGAGGAAGUAAAAGUCGUAACA
rnacentral:rRNA from 1 species